UUUUAUCAGAGAGUUUGAUCCUGGCUCAGGAUGAACGCUGGCGGCGUGCUUAACACAUGCAAGUCGAACGGGAAACUUUUCAUUGAAGCUUCGGCAGAUUUGGUCUGUUU
rnacentral:rRNA from 1 species